GACGGACGCUGGCGGCGUGCUUAACACAUGCAAGUCGAACGAUGAAGCUAGAGCUUGCUCUGGUGAAUUAGUGGCGAACGGGUGAGUAACACGUGAGUAACCUGCCCCGAACUCUGGGAUAACUGCUGGAAACGGUAGCUAAUACUGGAUACGACCUACGAAGGCAUCUUCUGUAGGUGGAAAGAAUUUCGGUUCGGGAUGGACUCGCGGCCUAUCAGCUUGUUGGUGAGGUGAUGGCCUACCAAGGCGACGACGGGUAGCCGGCCUGAGCGGGUGACCGGCCACACUGGGACGGAGAUCCGGCCCAGACUCCUACGGGAGGCAGCAGUGGGGAAUAUUGCACAAUGGGCGCAAGCCUGAGGCAGCGACGCCGCGUGAGGGAUGACGGCCUUCGGGUUGUAAACCUCUUUCAGCAUCGACGAAGCGAAAGUGACGGUAGGUGCAGAAGAAGGACCGGCCAACUACGUGCCAGCAGCCGCGGUAA
rnacentral:rRNA from 1 species